UUAAGCACACCGCCUGGGGAGUACGACCGCAAGGUUAAAACUCAAAUGAAUUGACGGGGACCCGCACAAGCAGUGGAGCAUGUGGUUUAAUUCGAAGAUACGCGCAGAACCUUACCAACACUUGACAUGUUCGUCGCGACUCUAAGAGAUUAGAGUCAUCGGUUCGGCCGGACGAAACACAGGUGCUGCAUGGCUGUCGUCAGCUCGUGUCGUGAGAUGUUGGGUUAAGUCCCGCAACGAGCGCAACCCUUACUUUUAGUUGCUACCAUUCAGUUGGGCACUCUAAAAGAACUGCCAGUGAUAAGCUGGAGGAAGGUGGGGAUGACGUCAAGUCCUCAUGGCCCUUACGUGUUGGGCUACACACGUGCUACAAUGGUACUUACAAUGAGAUGCGAAGAGGCGACUCUAAGCCAAUCCCAAAAAGGUACCUCAGUUCGGAUUGUACUCUGCAACUCGAGUACAUGAAGCUGGAAUUGCUAGUAAUCGCGGAUCAGCGCGCCGCGGUGAAUACGUUCCCGGGUCUUGUACACACCGCCCGUCACACCAUGGAAGUUGGUUACACCUUAAAGCAAAAUGUUAACCUUCGGGAAACAUUUGACUACGGUACGAUCAGCGACUGGGGUGAAGUCGUAACAAGGUAGCCGUAGGGGAACCUGCGGCUGGAUCACCUCCUUU
rnacentral:rRNA from 1 species